UGUUCUGGGUUCCUAUGAGGUACAGAGCA
rnacentral:piRNA from 1 species